UACGUAGGGUGCGAGCGUUAAUCGGAAUUACUGGGCGUAAAGCGUGCGCAGGCGGUUUUGUAAGACAGAUGUGAAAUCCCCGGGCUUAACCUGGGAACUGCAUUUGUGACUGCAAGACUAGAGUGCGGCAGAGGGGGGUUGAAUUCCACGUGUAGCGGUGAAAUGCGUAGAUAUGUGGAGGAAUACCGAUGGCGAAGGCAGCCCCCUGGGUCGCCACUGCCGCUCAUGCGCGAAAGCGUGGGGAGCAAACAGU
rnacentral:rRNA from 1 species